rnacentral:rRNA from 1 species
AAUAGCUUGGUUUUCUGCGAAAUCUGUUUUAGCAAAUUAUUUAUUUUAUUAUUAGUAGGUAUAGCACUGAAUAUUUUUUUUUUCAAAAAAGGGAGUAUUAAUUUACUUACCUAGGAAAAAUAUUAACCCCCAAAGGGCUAAAAAGUUAGGGAAAAAACCGGACUUUUUGCGAUAAGGGAUAAAGUCCAAAGGGAAACAGCCCCAAACAGUAAAAAAAAAAGUAAGGCCCCCCAAUUAAAAUUAAGGGAAAAUUCCAAA